rnacentral:lncRNA from 1 species
CCAGGAUGCCAACAAACUAACCACCUUCUUUAACAUUAAACAAAGGUAACAAGGAGCCACAACACAAAUCCACCAUGUUAGCGUUAGGGUAUUUAUCAUAUGAUAAUAUCACGUUACGUGCAAUGCACCUAGCAACAAUCAAUGGUUCUAAAAUGGCUUUGAGGUUCGCAGGUUCAUAUGGCAUCAUCCCAAUUUGCCCAUUUCAAUCUUUCCUUCUCUUUCUUCUCCAACACCUCUUAUCACUCCUUUUUCUCUUUUUUAUAUCUUUUUAUUUCAUUUUAUUUUAUUUUAUGCAAAAUAAUUUGAUCGAACCCGAAGUAGGUUGCCUACGUAUCAUGUCACUGAUGAAUCGAACCAAGCGUAGUUGUGGAAAAGUGACAAAAAUAAACUAAAAUAAACUCUUUUUGGGAUUUUCAUUUAAACUUUUUUCGAUAUUAAAAUACAAAAGAAAGUACGAUAAUGAAAGACAUGAUAGACUCGACAACACUAUGACAGACUCUGAUACUACCUAAAGGACUUAGUACUCCUGGACAACUCCUCAAGCUGCCCCUGAAUGGGAAGGUCCUGACUGGGAUGGUCCUGGGUUGUCCGUCAUGCUCAAACUCUGGAACAUGCCUCGUACCUGAGUAGGAAAAAUAUGAUCAAACAGAGUUAGUAACUACAGACACAUGUGACGCACGACACCUCCUACUGGACACAUACAAGACACGAUUGGGAUAUUUUUGAAAAUUAACCUACAUGGACAAGAGUGGAUAUUAAUGCAAAUUAAACAAAGAUUACCGCAAAGAUAUGGACAUACCUCCCUAAGGCAUAUAUGGAUCUAAACUCCCAAUAAUCAUGGCCCAAAAAAUUAAUUUGCAAAAACAGCCCAUAUCGCAAAAAUGAUCGGAUUGGCCAGAAGUGGCUAAAGAUGCGAACUCCAAAAGGACAGACCUUAAAGUAAUGUGACAUCUAGUUGUGGACUCAAAAUUCUAAGACAUGGGUUAUUGAACCACUUUUUGCAAAAAUUUCCAUUUUGCAAGAAUGAUCGAUGUGGUCACAAGUGGCUAGACAUGCAAGAUUUGGCUAAGACCCCGCAAAGCCAAUAACCUAAAACUUACUAGGAAGACCAGACCCUAUGUGGGUUGCCUAUAUAUCUCGCCCCGGAAGACGAAAAUCAGCUUCAAGUAGUUCGGGAAGAUGCAAUUAGUUUGAAAAAAUUAUAUUUUUGUCUUUUUUGGAAAAUGAUGAAAAGUGUAAACUCUUUUUAGAUUUUCUUUUUCUCCUUUUUUUUAAGUUUUUGGAAAAUGAUAGAAAAUGGAAAACCUUUUUGGAUUUUUCUUCAUUUUCAUUUUUUGAACUUUAAAACAAUGGAAAAGUGUAAAAUCUUUUGAAAUUUCAUUUUCAUUUUUUGAUUUUUGAAAAAUUAUGAAAGAAAAAUGCGGGUGGACCCUACUUUCUUCAUUUUUCACCCUUCUUUCCAAACAUUGGUCCGCCAAAUGACCUUUUUACCCUCAAAGAUGCAACAUUUAGCACAUAGGAUGAUUAGAUGUCAUUUUGGGCCAUAAGACCAUUUUUGACAUAAUUUGGACAGGCCUCCUACAAAGGGACAUGGUGCCUGGGACCGAGCCCUACUAAGUCUGAUUAAUAUGAUGCAAAUAAGCAUAACCUAAAAUGAUUAAAUGUCAUAUUGGGCCAUGGGCCCAUAUUGACAAAAUUUGGACAGGCUCCCUAUAAAGGGACACGGUACCUGGGACCGAGACCUACUAGGUGUAAAUGACAUGAUGCAAAUAAAAAUGACCUAAGUUUGGGGUUCACUAACAAGGCAAUUCGGGGGAGCGUAUGGUCAAUAGUGGCUGCUCAAGCUUUCCACCCACUCCAUACGUCCGACGGUCCCCCCUCCUAAAUUAAGGGUGACUCAACGAAGAAUUCGUGCAGGCGGCGCGUGCUCCGAGACUUGUUGCAGAAAGAAUUGACCGAGUAAUGCAUAUGAUGACACUUAUAAAGCAGUAAACACAUAAAGCAAAACUGUAACCGCAUAAACAACUAGCAAGUAAUAAAAUAUAAAACAUAAUAAAAAUUGAGCAAAGCUAAAUAAAUAAAUAAUAAAAAACAUUAAAAAAACUCAACCAAAUAUUCUAAAGCCAACAAAAUCGAGUACUAGCUCGAACCCACGAGUGUCCCCAUCAGAGUCGCCAAAGAUGCCACACCUCUUUUUUUUUCAAAACAAACUUUUCUUAAACCUCUUAAAUUAAUGAAAAGAUUUAAUGAAAGCUUGAAAAGGGUUUUUCAAUUUUGAAAGUGACAAAAAAUUUGUUUCAAAAGGAAAUAAACUCGGAGUCGCCACCUGGCAUUUGAUUUCGGGCCACCAUCCUUUUAAAAAUACUUUUUUUUUCAAAACACUUAGACUCAAAACUAAGUCCACACUAGAGAUUCAGGUAAGGGGGUUCAUUUGACUCGGGGAGGAGGUGUUAGACACUCCCCAAGUCCCGUGAAGGUCAUGGUUGCAUACUCGAUCAAGUUGGCUAUUAAAAUAUUCGAUUGAGGUUAAACAAACACAGAAAAAUAAACACACAAAAGGGCUCGAGGCAGUCCCCACCUAAUAAAAGAAAAUAAAAAGGAAAAGAAAAGAAAAGUCCUGAGCUAACCUAUACUAUGACUUCCCCACGAUGCUCGUCAAGGCCUCCAAAAUACUUACAUAGCUCUUCGAGGCAUAUCCUGGAUAAUAAUAUUUACAAACUUCACGGGGCAUUCUCCGGAUAAAUUUAAUUAAGGGACAACCUCUUACCUCAAUACUAACAAAAUUCUAAAGUCCGCCUACCCAAGUGUUACCGGCCUAAGCAUGAUACUAGCGAGUAAAUAUGAAAAAUAGAAAUAAAUAAAGCUAAAUGACACAUUCAUUCUACGAGACUCUCUAAUGACCUUUCAUUUUAUUUAAUUAAACCAUGCCCAAUACCUAUAACGUGAAAGCAGAUCAAUUACUACUCCCAUGACCCAAGACUUUUCAACAGUCCGAGCAAGAAGUCAAGCUACUUAGUUUUUGUUGACUUAAUUCUUUUGCCAUCAAGAUAAGGAUUGUGAAGCUUUUUAAUGAAGAUAACGAGCCAUGGAAACCAGAACUUAGUUUAGUUAUGAACAUUUAUCCAAGUAGAUUAAACCAAAUAAUACAUAACCAAUAAUCAACAAAAUCACACUGGGUUCACCAAAUACUACUAAGACACUUCCAGAACAGAGGAAUAAAAAAAUAAAGAUAACACUAAUUAACGAGGCUAUAACAAAAAUAGAAGCAUGACGUUAUGCGAGCGAAAAGUGUAGAGGAAAAAAGAGAAAUUAAACCUCGAAUUGAGAUCGAACCGCGGAUCGAAUUUUAACUGGAAGGCCUCGCUCGAGAAUACCUAGGACGGCGGCUUCUUAAUCGAACUCCAUGAUUUGAACACCAAAAUUCCGAAAUAAAAACUGUUAAGCUAAUGUUUUCUCCAACGAAAAAUCAGCAAUUACAAGUCUUUGAAUCCAGAACUCGAAGGAGAAAAUAGUGACAAGCAUCGGAGAGGAAACGCGAAUUGAACGAUGGGCGAUAGUAAAUUCAAACCAAACUCCGCACCUCAAUCGCUCAAACCUCAAAUAACCUCCAUUUUCUGAAACUUGAAUUUCCAAUAAACCUCUCCGGCUAUGAUACAAGCCAAAAAUCAAAAUAUGAACUCAGUAGGGACUGAAUGAAACAGUUACGAUCAAAUCUAGAACCACGAGCUCGAACCAAGAACGGCAACCGGAACUUCAAACAAGCACCACCGAAACUCAGUCACAUUCCAUGCUUAAAUUAGAAUCGGAAUCCCAGAGAAGAAAUGAAGUAAUUUUUUUGUGUUUUUCUUUAAUAAUUUUCUGACUUUUAAAAAUUAAACCAGAACAAGAACCAACUCAUCUUUUUCAAUGACCUCUUUUUAUGGAAUUUCCAAACGAAAGAGAAAAGAAGAAAACUAUGCCAAAACGAACCCUAGAGCUUUUUCUCUGAAAUUGUUUUUCGUUUUUUUUUCUGUCUAGAAAACCUAAAAAUAUAUAUCCCCUCUAGAAUCUUCUUCUCCUCUUCUCCAAGAAAUCUCGUGUGGGGACCUCCACAAAUUCGAAAAUCCCUUUUUAUAAAGAAAAAUCAAAAAAAUGGAAAUUUUAGACAAAGAAUGUUCAUCCAACGAUCCUCAUUCCUCCAAGAUUUAUUCAAGGGUCCGAAUUUGCUUCCAGAUCGAACAAAAAAUAAAGAAAAACGCUUUCUUCAUGAUUAUGAACACGUGGAAGAAGGAGAUGAGAGUUGAAGGGGGACCGUGGGGGGACCAUUGGGUGAACUCGCCGGGUUUGGGGCGAGUUCUGGUGAGUUGGGAGGCGGGCAACGAUGGAGAGGUGGCGGCUGCUGGUUUUGUUAGUGUUUAAGUUAGGGCUUUAUUGGGAGAAUAUGCGGCUUUUGUAUGAAUAUGAGGGGACUUAACA